UGUACGGAUGAGAUAAACGCUGAAAGCAUCUAAGUGUGAAACUCGCCUCGAGAUGAGAUUUCCCAUUCUUUAUGAAGUAAGACCCCUCAGAGAUGAUGAGGUAGAUAGGCUAGAAGUGGAAGUGCGGCGACGCAUGGAGCGGACUAGUACUAAUGGUUCGAGGACUUAACCAAGUU
rnacentral:rRNA from 1 species